AUCAACCAUUUUUUUGUGCAGACACAGCCCUGCAUCUCCAGGAGUGAAUUGGAUCACUCCGGGAAGUGUUCCAAGUGCACAGAGGGGGCCAGGCCGUAAGGAGGCAGGAAGUUACUCUCUGCCUGUCUACAAGCAAGAGAGGAGGGGACUCCUGAGAAAGAAGACAGAAGAUAGUCACCAUCAAAGAAAAGAAAUGAGGCCUCCAACUUUACAUGACUCUUUGGACGGGUCAGGAGACUCAGAAAGCAUAAGUGAAUUGAUACUUUCCAUUUUUUGCCUCUGAUGUCCUAAAACUGUUCUCUGUGUCAAGGGAAACACCACAGUGAGCAAUUGGAACAUACAGGACAUCAGGUCUAGCUUUGAUGUUCUCUUCCUUGAAGUCAGCAGAACAAUGGAUAAUAGUGGAUUCAUUCAGGGAAUCGUAAGCAAAUGAACAGAACAGCCUAGGAUUAACAGAGCAACGGACAUGCACAAGACAAUCAGCAAAAUCUAGAAAAC
rnacentral:lncRNA from 1 species